rnacentral:rRNA from 1 species
CCCUUAGACGUCCUGGGCCGCACGCGUGCUACACUGAUACGUACAACAAGGUAUAUGCAUUCAUGCAUCGAUGCUGCUCCGAAAUAGACACAGCUAAAUCUUCUAAAAUACGUAUCGUGCUGCGGAUAGAUCGUUGAAAUUAUGGAUCUUGAAGGUGGAAUUCCUAGUAAGCGCGGGUCAUCAACCCGCGUUGAUUACGUCCCUGCCCUUUGUACACACCGCCCGUCGCUCCUACCAAUUUCGAGUGGCUCGGUGAACCUCUUUGGACUGUCGAGCAAUCGCGAAAUUAGAGUGAACCUGGUCACUUAGAGGAAGGAGAAGUCGUNACA